GCGGGUCUGUGCCUGGGAGGCUGA
rnacentral:piRNA from 1 species